UCGCGGAGGAAUUCGAAAAUUUGAUCGC
rnacentral:piRNA from 1 species